rnacentral:rRNA from 1 species
CCUACGGGAGGCUGCAGUGGGGAAUAUUGCACAAUGCGCGAAACCCUGAUGCAGCGACGCCGCGUGAGUGAAGAAGUAUUUCGGUACGUAAAGCUCUAUCAGCAGGGAAGAAAAUGACGGUACCUGACCAAGAAUCCCUGGCUAACUACGGGCCAGCACCCGGGGUAAUACGCAGGGGGCAAGCGUUAUCCGGAUGUACUGGGUGUAAAGGGAGCGUAGACGGCUGCGCAAGUCUGGAGUGAAAUGCCGGGGCACAACCCCGGAACUGACGUGGAAACUGUGCAGCUGGAGUGCGGGAGAGGUAUGCGGAAUGCCUAGUGUAGCGGUGAAAUGCAUAGAUAUGAGGAGGAACGCCAGUGGCGAAGGCAGCUUACUGGACUGUAACUGACGUUGAGGCUCGAAAGCGUGGGGAGCGAACAGGAUUAGAUACCCUAGUAGUC